UACGAAGGGGGCUAGCGUUGCUCGGAAUGACUGGGCGUAAAGGGCGCGUAGGCGGCGGUCACAGUCAGAUGUGAAAUUCCUGGGCUUAACCUGGGGGCUGCAUUUGAUACGUGGUUGCUUGAGUGGGGAAGAGGGUCGUGGAAUUCCCAGUGUAGAGGUGAAAUUCGUAGAUAUUGGGAAGAACACCGGUGGCGAAGGCGGCGACCUGGUCCUUGACUGACGCUGAGGCGCGAAAGCGUGGGGAGCGAACAGG
rnacentral:rRNA from 1 species